ensembl:processed_transcript Snhg8 small nucleolar RNA host gene 8
CCCUCGCGCGCAGGCUCUUGGGAGAGCGUCACCCGGGCUAUAAAAGCGUGCGCGCACCGUUCAGAAGUCUCUUUGGCUGCGAUCCGCCUACGAGUAUGUAGUUGUAUGGUGGGGAUGAUAUCUUGGGCCUUAUUUGUGAGUGGCCGAGAUGCGGGAGACACAAGGUGGCUAUGGUGCUGGCCGAAAGCCAUCAACUCUGCAAGAGCGCCGUGAAGGUUAGCGCGACGACCACCAUGUAAAGCCGAUACGGUGUUGGGCGGCGUGACGCAAGUUCGCCACCGCUGGGUCGGAUGGAAACGCCGGGACCCGUUGCUGUUGAACAGUGGAGGAAGUGUUAAGGUACUGUAGUGGUUGAGAUCGUCUCUGGUCAACUUACAGGGAAUCUUCGCUUUUAAUUUUUGAAAAUUGAAUAUUUUAUAUUAAAUAAAAGAUGUUUGGUGUGUAAUAA